rnacentral:ncRNA from 1 species
CUGACAUAUGUAGUCAAUGCGUGAGUAAACCUAAAAGGCGCAAGGAAACUUAUUAACGAGAUCUCGCACAGGUGCACCGCCGACCGACCUUGAUCUUCAGAGAAGGGUUCGAGUGUGAGCAUGCCUGUCGGGAAAGAUGGUGAGCUUUGCCUGAGUGCAGCAAAGCUAGAAUAAACUCUGGUGGAGGCCCGCAGCGAUAAUGACAUACACGUUGUUCGUCAGAAUUGAGUAUAGGGGUGAAAGACUAAUCAAACCAUCUAGUAGCU